UACGAGGGGGGCAAGCGUUGUUCGGAAUCACUGGGCGUAAAGGGAGCGUAGGCGGAUGUUUAAGUUGGAUGUUUAAAACCGGGGCCUAACCUCGGAGCGGCAUCCGAAACUGGGCAUCUUGAAUAGGUCAGAGGCUGGUGGAAUUGGAGGUGUAGCGGUGGAAUGCGCAGAGAUCUCCAAGAACACCUAUUGCGAAGGCAGCCAGCUGGGACCAUAUUGACGCUGAGGCUCGAAAGCAUGGGGAGCAAACAGG
rnacentral:rRNA from 1 species